rnacentral:rRNA from 1 species
CAGCAGCCACGGGAAUACGAAGGGGGCUAGCGUUGCUCGGAAUGACUGGGCGUAAAGGGCGCGUAGGCGGCGAUCAAAGUCAGGCGUGAAAUUCCUGGGCUCAACCUGGGGGCUGCGUUUGAUACUUGGUUGCUAGAGUGAGGAAGAGGGUCGUGGAAUUCCCAGUGUAGAGGUGAAAUUCGUAGAUAUUGGGAAGAACACCGGUGGCGAAGGCGGCGACCUGGUCCUUGACUGACGCUGAGGCGCGAAAGCGUGGGGAGCAAACAGGAUUAGAUACCCCAGUAGUCCCUGUCUCUUAUAC